UACGUAGGCAGCGAGCGUUGUUCGGAGUUACUGGGCGUAAAGGGUGCGUAGGCGGUUGUUUAAGUUUGGUGUGAAAUCUCCCGGCUCAACUGGGAGGGUGCGCCGAAUACUGAAUGACUAGAGUGCGGGAGAGGAAAGUGGAAUUCCUGGUGUAGCGGUGAAAUGCGUAGAUAUCAGGAGGAACACCGGUGGUGUAGACGGCUUUCUGGACCGUAACUGACGCUGAGACACGAAAGCGUGGGGAGCAAACAGG
rnacentral:rRNA from 1 species